rnacentral:rRNA from 1 species
CGACUACAUAUCAGGCAUAUCAAUAAGCGGAGGAAAAGAAACUAACAAGGAUUCCCUUAGUAACGGCGAGUGAAGCGGGAAGAGCUCAAAUUUGAAAUCUUCAAGGUUUUACCUUGACGAAUUGUAGUUUAAAGAAGUGUUUUCUGUUGGAGUUUCGGUAAAAGUUCUUUGGAAUAGGACAUCAUAGAGGGUGAGAAUCCCGUAUUUGACCAUUAUUUUCAGCUGUGUGAUACACUUUCAAAGAGUCGGAUUGUUUGGGAAUGCAGUCCAAAAUGGGUGGUAAAUUUCAUCUAAAGCUAAAUAUUGGCGAGAGACCGAUAGCGAACAAGUACCGUGAGGGAAAGAUGAAAAGAACUUUGAAAAGAGAGUUAAACAGUACGUGAAAUUGUCAAAAGGGAAGCGUUUGACACCAGUGUUGUUUUCUCGAAAAUCAAUUAAAAAUGGCGUGAUUUUGUGUUGUAUUGACCUUAAAAGCUUUCUUCACUUUUUUCAUGUCUUUUUUAAUGCACUUUUCGUUUAACAAGUCAGCAUCAGUUUCUUUUGUUGUAAAAAGGUCAUUGGAAGGUGGCUUUCUUUUCGGAGAAAGUGUUUAUAGCCUUUGACUCCUGCAAUCGGAGAGACUGAGGUCUGCAGCGUAGAUCCUUCGGGGUUAGAUACAUUUGUGCUAAGUUAUAGCUUUUCAUAGACAACUUGUUGACUAUGUUUAGUCUUGUAGCUUACUCGCUUAUGCUAUUUUACCUACGCUUAGGAUGUUGA